GAAACUAAGUUAAAGUGCUGGCCUUAACUCUGGACCAUGUGAAGAUUUCAGAGAAAUUGCUUGUCUUUUGUCUGCUGACUGUAGUGGCUCAUUCCCUGCUCAGAGAUGGGUGCUGGAAGAUUCUUAUUGUGUAGCCACCUGGAGAGUUUACUACUGAAUAAAUAAUAAGUGGCUAAGGGGCAGCACUUGGCCCAUAGAUAACUGUAGCAAGGUCAUCUGCAUCAGAAAAGGGAGAAUGCGGUCUCCUGUUUCUGGGUACUCCUGCACUGGUAAAUACUACAGAGUAGUUGACUUCUGAAAGAUCUUUUGAUGCAACAGGCACCAACUGCUUCACUUUCCUUUUAUUAAUACUUCAAAAGAAGUACAUGGAAGAAGGGGAAUCUUUUGAACUCAAAAGCACCUGUGCUGUAUCAAAGGACUACGUACUCCAGUAUUCUGGGCUGGAUCUGAGAUUGGUCAUCAACUAGCAAAACAGAUGCUGCUAGCAGAAUGGAUUUCCCCUUCCAUGUCUCGUGAGAGAGACCAUUCAGAGCAGAUCUGGCAUGUGUGGGGGAGUUGCAGAAGGGACGGAAAGGAUGCGAAGUUCCACUGUGCCAGCAGAAACCCCCUUUGUGAGAUAAUAACUGACCCACAGUUACCAAUAGACUUCCUGGCUGAGUGUGGAUUUGACCCUAAUCUCCCCAUCAUCAUCUGGCACUCAGCCACCAACCCAGCUGGCUCUUUUUCCUAGUAUUGCUGCUUAAGGACACUUGCUCCAACAAGUGAAUGGCCCACUGUUGUGCAAAUGCAACCUUUGCUUCUUAUUUGGGGGCUAUUAAAGGAGGAGAUGGUUAGAUCCAAAGGUGGUCCAAGCUUUUAGAAUUAUGCCUUUUGAAUUGCAGUAAGUGGGAAUAUAAGAGAAGAAAAAAGACUGCCACUCAGUAGUAAUUGCCAUGGCUAGCCCUAAAUAGUGAUUCUUCUUUACAGCAGCAAUACUUCAACAUCUUCUGGCUCAUGUGGAAAUGUCCAGUUAGGAAUAAACUGCUGGUAUUGUUAGAUUUGGAAGGGGUGGAUGGAAAAGGCACCUGGAAUUUUCCCCUACAGUAUCCUACACAUAUACUCCAUUGUUGACUUCUUUGUUUUCUUUUCCUGUCUUGUAAAGCAAAAUUUAACUUUGCAUAAAAUGUUACCAGGUAUUGCCAGAUGAUUUUUCAGAACAAAAGUAUGGUUAUUUUUAGGUUUUAUGUAUUGUUGCAGAUUUCAUCUUUUAUUACAGACUUAGAGACUUGUAUUAGCCCUGGAAUGGAAGCUCCCACUGAAGUUUGAGAACUUCUUCCUGGUUAGAGUAUGACCCAAUGUUGAGGGGAGAGCUUAAGUGGUGAGAGGCUGGUGUCACUGAUAUCAGCCUUGGGCCCUCUAAGCUUAUAGAUCUGGAGAAUCUCAGUGGGAGAAUAACUUGUAAACUACUACUAAAUGAUUUUUCUGGACAUGGAUUUUGGCCCUGGAUCACCUUCAAGGCAGUAGGUUCUUGCUAUAAGUUGGGGCAGAGCAGAUGCAACUGCCCAGCCUGCACGACGAAGUUUCACUCCCAUGUAAAUAAUACCAUGAUAAUGCUUUGUGAACUCUGGAAUUAAGUUCUGCUGAAUGCCUUUAUGAAAUUUGGAGGGAUCUAACCUACCCUUUAAUGACUAGGUUCUGUUAUAAUAAAUACUGAACAGUUACAUUUUUACCAUUUUAACAAUGUCCUCCACCUCUUUAGGUUCCAUAGGUAUUAUUUCUAGAAUAGCUAAGGGAGACUUAGUUAGACAGACAUGGACUUAGAAAUAUCUGUCCUACACUUACUUAGAUGUAUAUGUUCUCAGAUCAGCUUGUUUGACAAAGAUGGUUAUAGCUGGUCCUUUGAUUUAGAUAGAGAGGAUGGGCAUCAAAAUGGUAAGGCAGUUCAGCGUAAUCAAGUGUACAGUGAUGCAUGUUCGGGCAAAAAGCCCAACUUCACAUAUAUGACAAUGGGAUCUGAGCUAGUGGUGGUUGGCCAAGGAAGAGCUCUUGAAGUUGUGAUGGACAGCUUGGCGAAACUGUUGACACAUAUAUGAAAUAAGACAAUUACUAUAUUAGACCUAAUUAGUAAAUGACUUGAAAAUAAAACUGCUAUUAACAUACUGCCCUUUACAUAUCUAUUGUGCCACCACACUUAGAAUAGUGUGCACAGUCCUAGUCAUGCAACUAAAAAAGAGUUGAAAGAUGUUCAGAAAAGGGCAAUUAAAAUGGUCAAGAAGCUGAAGCAACUCCCGUAAGGAGAAAGGUUACAGCAUCUGAGACUAUUUAGCUUAGGAAAAAAGUGAAUACGGGCACUUACUGAAGGUUUACAAAAUAAUGUGUGAUGUUGAGAAAGUUAAUAGGGAGAUAUUUUUUUACCAUCUCUCAUAAUACUAGAACCUGGGAUCAUCCAGG